AGACGUUUAAUUUUUUUAUGCAAUAGACAAAUGUUAAAAAUUUUUCAAAUUAGUUUUUAUGGUUUGGUGUGCUAACAGUUAUGGCUUAGUCAAUAAGUUAGUGUGUUUCAUUUUAAAUUAUCUUUUUCAAGCAAAUCUCAAUGACACUUUACAAAACAUGAUUCCCUGCAGGAUGCCUGUUAAAAAGAAAAACUGAAGAAACUUUAAAACUAGAUGAUGCCAACUAAAGAAUUUAAAACACCGUUAUUUAUGGUGUCAUAUCGAGGCUUCAGUUUUUCAGUAUUUAUUUUUAUAUUUUAGUAUAUAUGUUAUGUUCAUUUUAUUUUUUAUUUUUGUUAUUUUUGUAACAACAAACUAUGUGAAUAAUUGUCCUGCCCUGGGCCUCUACUUCCAUCUGGCUAUUAUUAUUACACGUAUACCGAUUUGUAUAUUGUAUUGAGUUAGCUUGUGAUUUGUACGUGUGUUUUUAUUUGCCUAGUGUUUGUUAGUUAUAUGCAAGAUAUGGCAUGGUAUAGCACACUGCAUGUAUAAAAGUGGAUAAAAGCACUAAAGAAAACGAUAACGAUAAACUUUCAAGCAGAAUUUUGUCAUGCGAUUAUGGUGGCGAUAUGAGAGAACUACUUUGGUAAUAUUACUAUCGUAGUUUUGCAUCAAAUCAUUGUAUAAUAUUAGUUUUUUGACUAAAAAUAUUAUGAAAUUCAAA
rnacentral:lncRNA from 1 species